rnacentral:rRNA from 1 species
AACGAACGCUGGCGGCAUGCCUAACACAUGCAAGUCGAACGAGACCUUCGGGUCUAGUGGCGCACGGGUGCGUAACGCGUGGGAAUCUGCCCUUGGGUUGGGAAUAACAGUCGGAAACGACUGCUAAUACCGGAUGAUGUCUUCGGACCAAAGAUUUAUCGCCCAGGGAUGAGCCCGCGUAAGAUUAGCUAGUUGGUGAGGUAAAGGCUCACCAAGGCUACGAUCUUUAGCUGGUCUGAGAGGAUGAUCAGCCACACUGGGACUGAGGCACGGCCCAGACUCCUACGGGAGGCAGCAGUGGGGAAUAUUGGACAAUGGGUGAAAGCCUGAUCCAGCAAUGCCGCGUGAGUGAUGAAGGCCUUAGGGUUGUAAAGCUCUUUUACCCGGGAUGAUAAUGACAGUACCGGGAGAAUAAGCCCCGGCUAACUCCGUGCCAGCCGCCGCGGUAA